UCCGGAGGGAGCUAGCGUUGUUCGGAAUCACUGGGCGUAAAGCGCGCGUAGGCGGCUUUGUAAGUUAGAGGUGAAAGCCCGGAGCUCAACUCCGGAACUGCCUUUAAAACUGCAUCGCUUGAAUCCAGGAGAGGUGAGUGGAAUUCCGAGUGUAGAGGUGAAAUUCGUAGAUAUUCGGAAGAACACCAGUGGCGAAGGCGGCUCACUGGACUGGUAUUGACGCUGAGGUGCGAAAGCGUGGGGAGCAAACAGG
rnacentral:rRNA from 1 species